rnacentral:ncRNA from 1 species
GAUAUUACUCAUAAGGGCGUACGGAGGAUGCCUUGACACUAAAAGGCGAUGAAGGUCGUGGCGUGUCUGCGAUAAGCUUCGGGGAGGCGACUAGCAACCAUUGAUCCGGAGAUAACCGAAUGGGGAAACCCAAUCAUGUGAACCAUGAUUAUCUCGCGCAAGCGAGAAGUAUACCUGGUGAAGUGAAACAUCUUAGUAACCAGAGGAAAAGAAAUAGAAUAGAUACCGUAAGUAGCGGCGAGCGAAAGCGGCAUAGCCUAAACCGAUGCAUAGCAUCGGGAAUCUCUAAUAUCGAAUUUCUAAACUCUAAACAAUAUCAAAAUCCAAAAUUAAAAAUUUGGGAUUUGUUUAGGAUUUAGAGAUUAGGAUUUAGGAUUUCCGCUGCUGUGCAGCGGUGUAAUAGGGAUGAUACACUUGAAUUUUUAAUAUCGAUUUUUUUGAAAUCGGUAUUAAAAAUUUAUAAGAAGUUAAAAAUUUGGGUGUUAGCAGGAUAAGGCUAAAUACUUUUAGUGAUCGAUAGUGAACAAGUACCGUGAGGGAAAGGUGAAAAGCACCCCGGUGAGGGGAGUGAAAUAGUAACUGAAACCGUAUGCCUACAAAGAGCAGGAGCUGGUGCUGCGCACUGGAAAUUCGAAGCACGAAUAUCGAAAUUCUAAACAAAUUCAAAAUUCGAAAUUCAAAUAUUUAAACAUUUGGAUUUUAGUUAUUUGAUAUUGUUUCGGAUUUAGGAUUUCGGAUUUAGGAUUUGCAGCGCGUAGCGCUGGUGACUGUGUGCCUAUUGAAGAAUGACCCAACGAGUUUAUCUAAAUUGCCAACUAUAAGUCCUAAUCGGACGGAUAGGUAGGGAAACCGAGUGUUAAAAGCGCGACUCUAACUUAACUAACAACUUACGACUUUGCAGAAAUGUUCAGUUGUUCGUUGUUAGUUACGUUAGUAAGCAGUUUGGAUAAGACCCGAAGCCAGGCGAGCUAACCAUGACCAGGGUGAAGCUCUGCGAAAGCGGAGUGGAGGCCCGAACUAGUUGGUCGCUCAAUGCCAUUGGAUGAGUUGUGGUUGGAAGUGAAAAGCUUAUCGAGCUUGGUAAUAGCUGGUUCUCUCCGAAAUGCGUUUAGGCGCAGCGGUAUAUAGUAGCAGGAGGGGUAGAGCACUGAAUGGUUUGUCGUGCCCUUUUGGGUAGACUUACCAAACAAACUCCGAAUACUCCUGUGGAAUGUAUACCAGUGAGUACGCGAGGGCAAAGCUUCGUGUACGCGAGGGAAAGAGCCCAGAUCACAAAUUAAGGUCCCUAAAUUUAUGCUAAGUGUUAAAGGAAGUAUUUUGCCUUAGACAGGUAGGAGGUUGGCUUAGAAGCAGCCACCCUUUAAAGAGUGCGUAAUAGCUCACUACUCGACGUUGUCGCAAGAU